rnacentral:rRNA from 1 species
UGGGGAAUUUUGGACAAUGGGCGAAAGCCUGAUCCAGCAAUGCCGCGUGUGUGAAGAAGGCCUUCGGGUUGUAAAGCACUUUUGUCCAGAAAGAAGUCCUUGGCUCUAAUACAGUCGGGGGAUGACGGUACCGGAAGAAUAAGCACCGGCUAACUACGUGCCAGCAGCCGCGGUAAUACGUAGGGUGCAAGCGUUAAUCGGAAUUACUGGGCGUAAAGCGUGCGCAGGCGGUUUGCUAAGACCGAUGUGAAAUCCCCGGGCUCAACCUGGGAACUGCAUUGGUGACUGGCAGGCUAGAGUAUGGCAGAGGGGGGUAGAAUUCCACGUGUAGCAGUGAAAUGCGUAGAGAUGUGGAGGAAUACCGAUGGCGAAGGCAGCCCCCUGGGCCAAUACUGACGCUCAUGCACGAAAAGCGUGGGGAGCAAAACAGGAUUAGAUACCCUGGUAGUCCACGCCCUAAACGAUGUCAACUAGUUGUUGGGGAUUCAUUUCCUUAGUAACGUAGCUAACGCGUGAAGUUGACCGCCUAGGGAGUACGGUCGCAAGAUUAAAACUUAAAGGAAUUGACGGGGUCAUAGCUG